AUGUAGCAUCAUCAGAUCAUGCGUCCAAAGCUGACAGAAAUGGGCUUUCUGAUGAGGCUGUGCAGAAACUUUUGAAUCAAGUCGAGUAUUAUUUCAGUGAUUUAAAUUUGGCAACUACUGAUCAUUUGAUGAGGUUUAUACAGAAGGAUGCUGAGGGAUAUGUGCCAAUAUCUGUGGUUGCUUCCUUUAAGAAGAUCAAAGCUGCCAUAAAUAGUAAUUCUCA
rnacentral:misc_RNA from 1 species